rnacentral:rRNA from 1 species
UAUUGGACAAUGGGGGCAACCCUGAUCCAGCAAUGCCGCGUGUGUGAAGAAGGCCUUCGGGUUGUAAAGCACUUUCGGUGGGGACAAACAAGGUGGCGCUAACAUCGCCGCCUCUGAUGGUACCCACAGAAUAAGCACCGGCUCACUUCGUGCCAGCAGCCGUGGUAAUACGAAGGGGGCUAGCGUUGUUCGGAAUUACUGGGCGUAAAGCGCGUGUAGGCGGGCCGUUAAGUCGGGGGUGAAAGCCCAGAGCUCAACUCUGGAAUUGCCUUCGAUACUGGCGGCCUGGACCCAAGUAGAGGCGAGUGGAAUUGCGAGUGUAGAGGUGAAAUUCGUAGAUAUUCGCAGGAACACCAGUGGCGAAGGCGACUCGCUGGACUUGUGGUGACGCUGAGACGCGAAAGCGUGGGGAGCAAAC